rnacentral:rRNA from 1 species
UACAGAGGUCCCGAGCGUUGUUCGGAUUCAUUGGGCGUAAAGGGUGCGUAGGCGGCGGGCAAGUCUGAUGUGAAAUCCCGGGCUCAACCCGGAACUGCAUUGGAUACUGCCUUGCUUGAGUACUGGAGAGGGAACUGGAAUUACGGUGUAGCAGUGAAAUGCGUAGAGAUCGUAAGGAAGGCCAGUGGCGAAGGCGAGUUCCUGGACAGUUACUGACGCUGAGGCACGAAGGCCAGGGAGCAAACGGG